UGGUGACGAAGAAGACAACGAUCAAGACGGUUUAGUAGAUGAAGAUAACUGUCUGUAUUUUAAGGACGAUUACAAAGCUGAAGUGCCGUCUGACCUUGACCUAGAUGGCUCAGAUGGAGAAGACUGUAAAGGAUGUCCUGGGGGUGAGGGUAUGAACAUGUUUUUAACUUGUGAAGCAUGUGAUUAUGGAUUUUACCGUGAAAGAAAGUCGUGGAAGCUCAGAUGUCAGUCUUGUGGAGAGAAUUACACUACAUUUUAUCAAAGCAGUAGCUCACAAAAUGACUGUGUCCCCAUUUGCACUGAGGGAAUGCAGCUUAAUAACGAUACGUCGAACAAUG